GUGAAUAUUUUUGCUAGUCUCAGUCUAAAGCCUUCGAAUCUUCCUGCUCGAGAUGCUCCUUGGAAGGGAGGCUUCAUCCUUGAUGCAGCCACACCGGGAGAAUUCAUUGGUGGGUUCCAAGCACGACCUUCAUGUAAGGUCCAUCCUAAAGCCUAUGCAUUUUCACAAAAAAAUGCCUCUCAUCCUCAAUGCUAACUGGUUUCCUCGAUCCAAUCUUUGGACUGAUAUCUUCCAAGACGAUGACCCGUCCUUUAAGAUGUUGCCCUUUACUUUUUCCCUGAUGAAAACAUUGAGAGCUCUUUUCUGUCUUCUGGUUGCAUGGUUUUGAUAUUUGAGUUAUGUGGGUGAUGCAACUAUCAUAAGGAGAUGU